UACGGGGGGGGCAAGCGUUGUUCGGAAUUACUGGGCGUAAAGUGUGCGCAGGCCGCCGAGCAAGUCGAGUGUGAAAGCCCCGAGCUUAACUUGGGAACUGCGCUCGAAACUACUUGGCUAGAGUGUGGCAGAGGGAGGUGGAAUUCCACGUGUAGCGGUGAAAUGCGUAGAGAUGUGGAGGAACACCGAUGGCGAAGGCAGCCUCCUGGGCCAACACUGACGCUCAUGCACGAAAGCGUGGGGAGCAAACAGG
rnacentral:rRNA from 1 species